GACGAACGCUGGCGGCGUGCUUAACACAUGCAAGUCGAACGGAAAGGCCCUGCUUUUGUGGGGUGCUCGAGUGGCGAACGGGUGAGUAACACGUGAGUAACCUGCCCUUGACUUUGGGAUAACUUCAGGAAACUGGGGCUAAUACCGGAUAGGAGCUCCUGCUGCAUGGUGGGGGUUGGAAAGUUUCGGCGGUUGGGGAUGGACUCGCGGCUUAUCAGCUUGUUGGUGGGGUAGUGGCUUACCAAGGCUUUGACGGGUAGCCGGCCUGAGAGGGUGACCGGCCACAUUGGGACUGAGAUACGGCCCAGACUCCUACGGGAGGCAGCGGUGGGGAAUAUUGCACAAUGGGCGGAAGCCUGAUGCAGCAACGCCGCGUGCGGGAUGACGGCCUUCGGGUUGUAAACCGCUUUCGCCUGUGACGAAGCGUGGGUGACGGUAAUGGGUAAAGAAGCACCGGCUAACUACGUG
rnacentral:rRNA from 1 species